GCGACGCCGCGUGAAUGAUGAAGUUCUUCGGAAUGUAAAGUUCUGUCAGCAGGGAUAAUAAUGAUAGUACCUGCAGAGGAAGCACCGGCAAACUAUGUGCCAGCAGCCGCGGUAAUACAUAGGGUGCGAGCGUUGUCCGGAUUUACUGGGCGUAAAGAGCUUGUAGGCGGUAAUGCAAGUCAAACUUAAAAUGCUCUUGGCUUAACCAGAGUAUGGGUUUGAUACUGCAUUGCUUGAGGCUGGGGGAGGAAAGCGGAACAAACAGUGUAGCGGUGAAAUGCGUAGAUAUUGUUUGGAACACCCGUGGCGAAGGCGGCUUUCUGGACCAGUUCUGACGCUGAGAAGCGAGAGCGUGGGGAUCAAACAGGAUUAGAUACCCUGGUAGUCCACGCUGUAAACGAUGUACAUUAGGUAUAGAGGGUAUCGACCCCCUCUGUGCCGAAGCUAACGCGUUAAAUGUACCGCCUGGGGGGUACGGUCGCAAGAUUAAAACUCAAAGGAAUUGACGGGGGCCCGCACAAGCAGUGGAUCAUGUGGUUUAAUUCGACGAUACACGAAAAACCUUACCCAAACUUGACAUUCUAGCGUCCAGCAUCUACGAAGGUAGAUGUGUUCGCAAGAAGGCUAGAACAGGUGGUGCAUGGUUGUCGUCAGCUCGUGUCGUGAGAUGUUAGGUUAAGUCCUGCAACGAGCGCAACCCUCGUGCUGUGUUGCUACAUUAAGUUGAGCACUCUCAGCAGACUGCCCGUGGUAAACGGGAGGAAGGUGGGGAUGACGUCAAAUCAUCAUGCCCUUUAUGUUUGGGGCUACACACAUGAUACAAUGGUCGGUACAAAGGGAUGCAAACUCGCAAGGGGAAGCAAAUCUCAAAAAACCGACCUCAGUUCAGAUUGAAGGCUGCAACUCGCCUUCAUGAAGCCGGAAUUGCUAGUAAACGCAGAUCAGCAUGCUGCGUUGAAUACGUUCCCGGGCCUUGUACACACCGCCCGUCACACCAUGAAAGCCGGAAAUAUCCGAAGUCAGUGAGCCAACCGCAAGGAGGCAGCUGCCGAAGAUAGAGCCGGUGAUUGGGGUGAAGUCGUAACAAGGUAGCCGUACCGGAAGGUG
rnacentral:rRNA from 1 species